CCAAUAGCGUAUAUUAAAGUUGUUGCAGUUAAAAAGCUCGUAGUUGAACUUCGGGGUUUACCCAUUGGUCAGGCUUAAUUGUCUGCACUGGUGAGAUGAAUCUCUACCUUCUGAGGAACUUUCAUGCCAUUUAUUUGGUGUGAUGGGAAAUCAGGACUGUUACUUUGAAAAAAUUAGAGUGUUUAAAGCAGGCUAACGUCUGAAUACAUUAGCAUGGAAUAAUGAAAUAGGACGGACUGAUUCUAUUUCGUUGGUUUCUAGGAUCACCGUAAUGAUUAAUAGGGAUAGUUGGGGGCAUUAGUAUUCAAUUGUCAGAGGUGAAAUUCUUGGAUUUAUUGAAGACUAACUACUGCGAAAGCAUUUGUCAAGGAUGUUUUCAUUAAUCAAGAACGAAAGUUAGGGGAUCGAAGACGAUCAGAUACCGUCGUAGUCUUAACCAUAAACUAUGCCGACUAGGGAUCGGACGAAGUUAAUUUUAUAAUGACGCGUUCGGCACCUUACG
rnacentral:rRNA from 1 species